rnacentral:rRNA from 1 species
AUUGAACGCUGGCGGCAGGCUUAACACAUGCAAGUCGAACGAGUGGCGGACGGGUGAGUAAUGCUUGGGAAUCUAGCUUAUGGAGGGGGAUAACUACGGGAAACUGUAGCUAAUACCGCGUACCAUAGGAUGAGCCCAAGUGGGUUUAGGUAGUUGGUGAGGUAAAGGCUCACCAAGCCGACGAUCGCUAGCUGGUCUGCGAGGAUGACCAGCCGCACGGAGAUUGAAACACGGCCCAGACUCCUACGGGAGGCAGCAGUGGGGAAAAUGGCGCAAUGGGAGAAACCUGACGCGGCCAUGCAGCGUGGAUGAAGAAGGCCUUCGGUUUGUAAAGUUCUGUCGGUAGCGAGGCGUUAACUACAGAAGAAGCACCGGCUAACUCCGUGCCAGCAGCCGCGGUAAUUC